UAUCUUGACGCCAGAGGUCGGAAGAGUAAUGCCUAUGAAAUUGCCUUGAUGUGGGGGAUAACUAUUGGAAACGAUAGCUAAUACCGCAUAACGCCUACGGGCCAAAGAGGGGGAUCUUCGGACCUCUCGCGUCAAGAUAUGCCUAGGUGGGAUUAGCUAGUUGGUGAGGUAAUGGCUCACCAAGGCAACGAUCCCUAGCUGGUCUGAGAGGAUGAUCAGCCAUACUGGAACUGAGACACGGUCCAGACUCAUACGGGAGGCAGCAGUGGGGAAUAUUGCACAAUGGGCGCAAGCCUGAUGCAGCCAUGCCGCGUGUAUGAAGAAGGCCUUCGGGUUGUAAAGUACUUUCAGUCGUGAGGAAGGUUCAUACGUUAAUAGCGUAUGGAUUUGACGUUAGCGACAGAAGAAGCACCGGCUAACUCCGUGCCAGCAGCCGCGGUAAUACGGAGGGUGCGAGCGUUAAUCGGAAUUACUGGGCGUAAAGCGCAUGCNGGUGGUUCGUUAAGUCAGAUGUGAAAGCCCGGGGCUCAACCUCGGAACUGCAUUUGAAACUGGCGGACUAGAGUACUGUAGAGGGGGGUAGAAUUUCA
rnacentral:rRNA from 2 species